UGCAGUCGAGGGGCAGCACGUCUUCGGAUGGUGGCGACCGGCGCACGGGUGAGUAACGCGUAUGCAACCUACCUGUAACUGGGGGAUAGCUCCCUGAAAGGGGAAUUAACACCGCAUAAGACUACGGAAUCGCAUGGUUCAGUGGUCAAAUAUUUAUAGGUUACAGAUGGGCAUGCGUGACAUUAGUUUGUUGGUGAGGUAACGGCUCACCAAGACUACGAUGUCUAGGGGUUCUGAGAGGAAGGUCCCCCACACUGGUACUGAGACACGGACCAGACUCCUACGGGAGGCAGCAGUGAGGAAUAUUGGUCAAUGGACGCAAGUCUGAACCAGCCAUGUCGCGUGCAGGAUGACUGCCCUAUGGGUUGUAAACUGCUUUUGUAUGGGAAGAAAACGUUCUACGUGUAGAAUUUUGCCGGUACCAUACGAAUAAGGAUCGGCUAACUCCGUGCCAGCAGCCGCGGUAAUACGGAGGAUCCGAGCGUUAUCCGGAUUUAUUGGGUUUAAAGGGUGCGUAGGCGGAAUGGUAAGUCAGUGGUGAAAUACUGCAGCUUAACUGUAGAAUUGCCAUUGAUACUGUCAUUCUUGAGUACAGUUGAGGUAGGCGGAAUGUGGUGUGUAGCGGUGAAAUGCUUAGAUAUACCACAGAACACCGAUUGCGAAGGCAGCUUACUAAAGUGUCACUGACGCUGAUGCACGAAAGCGUGGGUAUCAAACAGGAUUAGAUACCCUGGUAGUCCACGCUGUAAACGAUGAUUACUGGUUGUUUGCGAUACAUUGCAAGUGACUGAGCGAAAGCAUUAAGUAAUCCACCUGGGGAGUACGUCGGCAACGAUGAAACUCAAAGGAAUUGACGGGGGCCCGCACAAGCGGAGGAACAUGUGGUUUAAUUCGAUGAUACGCGAGGAACCUUACCUGGGUUUAAAUGGGGGAGUGACAGACUUGGGAAACAGGGUUUUUCUUCGGACACUCUUUCAAGGUGCUGCAUGGGUUGUCGUCAGCUCCGUGCC
rnacentral:rRNA from 1 species